rnacentral:rRNA from 1 species
CCCCAAGAGUCCACAUCGACGGGGAGGUUUGGCACCUCGAUGUCGGCUCAUCACAUCCUGGGGCUGUAGUAGGUCCCAAGGGUUGGGCUGUUCGCCCAUUAAAGUGGUACGCGAGCUGGGUUCAGAACGUCGUGAGACAGUUCGGUCCCUAUCCGUCGCAGGCGUAGGAAAUUUGAGAAGACCUGUCCUUAGUACGAGAGGACCGGGAUGGACGUACCUCUGGUGUACCAGUUGUUCUGCCAAGGGCAUGGCUGGGUAGCUAUGUACGGAAUGGAUAAGCGCUGAAAGCAUCUAAGCGCGAAGCCAACUUCAAGAUAAGAUUUCCCACCGCAAGGGUAAGACCCCAGAAAGACUAUCUGGUUGAUAGGUCGAAGGUGUAAGUGCAGCAAUGUAUUUAGCUUAUCGAUACUAAUAGGUCGAGGACUUGACCAAU